rnacentral:rRNA from 1 species
UCGCCUGUUUUACAAAAACAUCGCCUCUUGAGAGAUAUAAGAGGUCCAGCCUGCCCAGUGACCUAGUUCAACGGCCGCGGUAUCCUAACCGUGCGAAGGUAGCGUAAUCACUUGUUCUUUAAAUAAGGACUAGUAUGAAUGGCACCACGAGGGUUUAACUGUCUCCUUUUUCUAAUCAGUGAAACUAAUCUCCCCGUGAAGAAGCUGGGAUUUUUUUAUAAGACGAGAAGACCCUAUGGAGCUUUAAACUAUUUUACACCUGCUGCCCACAAACCAACUUCCAGAAAUUAACCCUAAAGCAUAGCACUUUGAUUAAUAGUUUUUGAUUGGGGUGAUCGCGGAGUAAAAAAUAACCUCCACGACGAAAGGAUUUUUCCUGAGCCAUAAGCCACAGCUUUAAGCACUAAUAUUAUUAACGGCUAUUGACCCAAUAAUUUUGAUCAACGAACCAAGUUACCCUAGGGAUAACAGCGCAAUCCACUUCAAGAGCUCCUAUCGACAAGUGGGUUUACGACCUCGAUGUUGGAUCAGGGUAUCCUAGUGGUGCAGCCGCUACUAACGGUUCGUUUGUUCAACGAUUAAAACCCUACGUGAUCUGAUUCCAGAACCGGGGUGU